CCAUCAUUUAAAGAAAGCGUAAUAGCUCACUGGUCGAGUCGGCCUGCGCGGAAGAUGUAACGGGGCUAAACCAUGCACCGAAGCUGCGGCAGCGACGCUGAUGCGUUGUUGGGUAGGGGAGCGUUCUGUAAGCCUGCGAAGGUGUGCUGUGAGGCAUGCUGGAGGUAUCAGAAGUGCGAAUGCUGACAUAAGUAACGAUAAAGCGGGUGAAAAGCCCGCUCGCCGGAAGACCAAGGGUUCCUGUCCAACGUUAAUCGGGGCAGGGUGAGUCGACCCCUAAGGCGAGGCCGAAAGGCGUAGUCGAUGGGAAACAGGUUAAUAUUCCUGUACUUGGUGUUACUGCGAAGGGGGGACGGAGAAGGCUAUGUUGGCCGGGCGACGGUUGUCCCGGUUUAAGCGUGUAGGCUGGUUUUCCAGGCAAAUCCGGAAAAUCAAGGCUGAGGCGUGAUGACGAGGCACUACGGUGCUGAAGCAACAAAUGCCCUGCUUCCAGGAAAAGCCUCUAAGCAUCAGGUAACAUCAAAUCGUACCCCAAACCGACACAGGUGGUCAGGUAGAGAAUACCAAGGCGCUUGAGAGAACUCGGGUGAAGGAACUAGGCAAAAUGGUGCCGUAACUUCGGGAGAAGGCACGCUGAUAUGUAGGUGA
rnacentral:rRNA from 1 species